rnacentral:rRNA from 1 species
GAUGAACGCUGGCGGCGUGCUUAACACAUGCAAGUCGAACGGUGAACGAGGGAGCUUGCUCCCUCCGGAUCAGUGGCGAACGGGUGAGUAACACGUGAGCAAUCUGCCCUGGACUCUGGGAUAAGCGUUGGAAACGACGUCUAAUACCGGAUACGAGGCGUGGGGGCAUCCCCAACGCCUGGAAAGAACUUCGGUCCAGGAUGAGCUCGCGGCCUAUCAGGUAGUUGGUGAGGUAAUGGCUCACCAAGCCUACGACGGGUAGCCGGCCUGAGAGGGUGACCGGCCACACUGGGACUGAGACACGGCACAGACUCCUACGGGAGGCAGCAGUGGGGAAUAUUGCACAAUGGGCGAAAGCCUGAUGCAGCAACGCCGCGUGAGGGACGACGGCCUUCGGGUUGUAAACCUCUUUUAGCAGGGAAGAAGCGAAAGUGACGGUACCUGCAGAAAAAGCACCGGCUAACUACGUGCCAGCCGCCGCGGUAAUAC